CUGUUUUUAUUUCCACCGACGACAUAAACGCUAUUUGAUACGAGUCUUGAUGGACAUGCUGCAUCUCAGGUGCGAUGAAGUCGUACUAUGUAAACACGUUCUAUUUCGUUAUAGUCUACUUAUAUAGGUUCGCUCAAAUCUUUUUUUUUUUUUUUUUUGGCAAUUCAAAAUUGUUAUUGAAAACCAAAAAAAUUGGGUACAACCAACAACAUUAGAGUAACAGACUACUCUUAAUGCCCACCAUACAAGCCACAGUAGCUGUUUACAACACUAACAUUUGUUUUUGCUUCUCACUACAUCUAACUGCAACUCUAAAAAUGAUACUUCUAGCAAGUUGAUUAGGAUUCACAUCUGAAUCUCUAAAAAAAUUCGCAUUUCUCUGUAACCAGAUGGAAUACAAACUCUCUGUAUACAUCAUAACAAACAGUUUACUGCUAUCCUUAGUACUACGAGCUCUCCUGAUAGCCAACUCCAGUUCAUGAUGAGCAUUACCUUGAGGCUGCAAAUUCAAAUAUCUGAGAACAUUGCACCAGACUGUAUUGCUGUAAUGACAGUUGAAGAACAAGAGGUUCGCUCAAAUCUUACUAUAUACUUAAUGUAACACCCCGUAUUUUUAUUCCCGUUUAAUAAUUAUUUGUAUGAAUUUAUUUGAUGAAAAUAAUUUUAGAUUUCUUUUAUUAAAAAUAUUUUUUUACUAGUUUUGACUCUACUCUUGAAGUGGUUAAAAAAAAAAACUGAUUCCUAAAUUUCCUAGGUCAAAACCUAGCUAACUUUAUUAUAAAGAUAGAGUAGGAAAAGAAAACAAAACAAAAAAAAAAGGAUUAAAGGUUUUACGGGAGUAUUUCCCAGCAAAACCAACAAAAACUUCUCCCAAGCACUAUUCAUCAUCUUCUCCAAAAAAAAAAGAACAAAAAAAAAAACUUCUUUCUAUUUCUAUUUCUUUUUUUGUUGAUUCAAUACCCUAAAUUCACGAAUUUUGUUCAACUUUCUUCACAAUUCAACCUUUCUUCAUCUAUCUUUUAUAAUACUUAGAUAUUGAGAGUAUUUCAAAGAGGGAAAAUUUGGGUUUUACUUUGGACGAUUUUGGGACGAACUUCGGAUCGAAAGUGCGAUUUUCGGGUCUCUUAUUGUGUAAUUUUAUCUUCCCUUAAUCAAAUCACGGGUUUAUAGAGGAAUCUUUUUGAGUUGUGGUUAAGUAUCUUUGACUGUUAUUGCUGAUAAGGGACUUGAAGAUAGUUA